GGAGUAGGCUCCUGUGGGGCCAGUGGAGAAGCUUUGUGGCAAGCUGGUGGAGGAGGUGUUGGUAGCGAGUGUGAAGGGUGGUGAGGUGUAGGGUGUGGAGGGCCUCCUGGCUCAGGCGUGUAGAUGGGAGCAGGAGAAGAAAGAACAAAGGAAGAGGACGAAGAAGAAAGGAAAAAUGGAAGUGGAAGAAGAGGAGGAGCCAAGCCACAAUAUUUAGGUCCGCAGAAAACGACACGCUGAUUUAUUUGAAGUCAAGGAUGGAGAUUAAAACGGCCUUUAAAAACACCACACCCGUUUUGUCCACCGCCAUCACCACCUUCUCCCAGAUCAAGGAAGUGUAUUACGGACUCACACAAAAGGAAGAGGUCCGCAGAAAACGACACGCUGAUUUAUUUGAAGUCAAGGAUGGAGAUUGAAAUGGCCUUUAAAAACACCACACCCGUUUUGUCCACCGCCAUCACCACCACCUCCCAGAUCAAGGAAGUGUAUUACGCACUCACACAUAAGGAAGAGGUGAGUACCCGUAUCACAGGUCACACCGUGGGACUGACACCGCUGCAGCAACCCUUCAGAAUAAAGUCAAGUACAAAUUACGGUUUGCUAGGCGUUAGGUGUUAGGCAUAGGGCGAUAGGCGUCGUGGCUAACCAUUCUCUUCCAGGUACAUGUUAAUUAUCUAGUCUUCUUAAGUAAUGCCCUGGUUACUUUUG